GGAUGUGAGGGCUAUCUGGCUGUGACACCUGUCACUGCACUGAUCAGCAGGGUGGAUUCAGUCGAUCUGGCUGCCAACAUGAAGUCCCCUUCCUCUCCCACUCUUCCUCGUGCAUCCCUCCCAAAGCUGCAAACUCCCUUGAAAAGAGAGACCUGUCUGGAUAGAGGAAGGCCACUAUAAGUCAAG
rnacentral:snRNA from 1 species